UCUAUGUUUGGUAAACACUCACGUGUUCUCUAAACGCCAGUGGUUAGCAUCGUUUUUAUCGAGAACCAAAAGUUGUAGUUAGUAAGGAGGAGAAUGCCUGAAACUGACCGAAGAAGAGACGAUUAACAGAGACACAGGUGGUGCAGAGACUUUGCUGGAGUUCCGUGACUGAGCCGGGAAUCCAGGGCCAGAGGACAACACAGAGAAGCUACACGAUCGACAAGACAUGACACUGAAGAGGAUGAACUCAAAAUUGCAGUAGCAGUAGCCCACCCGACUCACCGAAAAAAUGUGAACAUCACCAGACUCACAAGACAAGACCACUCUUGCCGUUUCACAGAUACUGGUAGAACCGUGAGCGGACAACUUGUGCUCCAGAGAGUUUGUGUGGGUGAGCAUCCGCCCCGAGGGAGGCUUUGUUUUUGCCCUGCAGCCCGCUCCCGUUAACGUGCUCC